rnacentral:tRNA from 1 species
GGGGCUAUAGCUCAGUUGGCUAGAGCGCUGCCAUGGCAUGGCAGAGGUCACGGGGUCGAGUCCCGUUAGCUCCA